AUUGAACGCUGGCGGCAUGCCUUACACAUGCAAGUCGAACGGUAACAGGUCUUCGGAUGCUGACGAGUGGCGAACGGGUGAGUAAUACAUCGGAACGUGCCCGAUCGUGGGGGAUAACGCGGCGAAAGCUGUGCUAAUACCGCAUACGAUCUACGGAUGAAAGCGGGGGAUCGCAAGACCUCGCGCGGACGGAGCGGCCGAUGGCAGAUUAGGUAGUUGGUGGGAUAAAAGCUUACCAAGCCGACGAUCUGUAGCUGGUCUGAGAGGACGACCAGCCACACUGGGACUGAGACACGGCCCAGACUCCUACGGGAGGCAGCAGUGGGGAAUUUGGACAAUGGGGGAAACCCUGAUCCAGCCAUGCCGCGUGCAGGAUGAAGGCCUUCGGGUUGUAAACUGCUUUUGUACGGUAACGAAAAGGUACCUUUCUAAUAAAGAGGGCUCAUGACGGUACCGUAAGAAUAAGCACCGGCUAACUACGUGCCAGCAGCCGCGGUAACACC
rnacentral:rRNA from 1 species